UACGUAGGGUGCGAGCGUUAUCCGGAAUUAUUGGGCGUAAAGGGCUCGUAGGCGGUUUGUCGCGUCGGGAGUGAAAACCUUGGGCUUAACUCAGGGCUUGCUUUCGAUACGGGCAGACUAGAGGUAUGCAGGGGAGAACGGAAUUCCUGGUGUAGCGGUGAAAUGCGCAGAUAUCAGGAGGAACACCGGUGGCGAAGGCGGGUCUCUGGGCAACAACUGACGCUGAGGAGCGAAAGCGUGGGGAGCGAACAGG
rnacentral:rRNA from 1 species